GACCGUACCAAAAUCUCAGUCGUGUGAGCACGUGCGAAAGGUCUCUUUCAACGCGUGCAUGGAAGGUUCGCUGUUCGAUAAAAGGUUUUUGGAAGCGGAUGCCUUCUCAAUUCUCGGUUCAGCCCAGUUCUUGCUUGGCCGCACAUGCUUCCAUCAAUCAUGAUGACUCCAUGAGCAUCUAUACAGGUAAGGCCACGCUCCAUAGCCGGUUAUCAUACAGUUACAUAUUGUGUGAAACCAUUCUUUAAUGCUUCCAAAUUUCAAGGGCCUCAAAGAAAAUUGUGGAAAGUGUGAUUGCCACUCUCUAAUAAUUACAUUUGUUAUUUUUAA